GAACGGGAAAUAAUUUAGAAAAGUGACGAAAAGAGAAGCAAGAAAUAUUCUUGUUGAGAGACUCUAUGGAGAGGAGAAGACUAUCGGGUGUCCGAUUACCACAUCAGACUUCAUGACAAUCAAUGAUCAUGUAUCGGCGUAUCAAAGGGGAAGUAUCGGAUUACGCUGAAGAUGAGAUAGUAAUGAGAAAAAGGAAGAUGCAUGCAAAAGUGCAAAGUGCAACAAAACAAGCAAAAAAAUCGUGAGAAUUAUAGAUCUCUUACGAAAUCCAUAAAAUUUUUGUGCGCCAUUCCGAUCGAGUUCCUUUCAUAUUUGACUAUGAAACGUUGCGUUAACUUUACCAUCAAAUGGAGAAGGGGAAAAAAGGAAAAGAAAAAUUUGUUUAAAAUAAAAGGAAAUACUUCUAACGGACGACCUACUUCGUAUGGCAAUCAGGAAACCUUUUUUUUUUUUUCCCCAGCGAUAAACCGAUAAAUGUUAACGCGUAAUAUCCGGCUAUAGAUACGAACGAGAUGCAAACGAAUCGUCGCGAUGAGAGACAGUGGAUUCGGAAUUAUUCUGGAAAAAUCAAAGAAAACAGAAACGAUAGGAGUAUCGUUUCAAUUGGCAUUGGAAUAUUCAAUAUUUUUCCUUGAAUUAGCACCGAGUCGAGUGGGUGGAAUUUAUUUGAAUGAUCGGCUUUUAUUCGAUUUUCAAAGGAUUCUCAUUUAACAAAAUGUUAAAUGAUAAUGAUAUUAGAAUCGGAGGAGGGAGGGAAGAUAAUAAAGGAAAAUUUAAAGAGUAAGAGGAAAAAUCUCGAAGGGAAAAUGUGAGAGAAGAGGACGGAGACGCGAUAAGAAAUAUCGAUCGAAGAGCGUGGAACGUUUUAAGAGACAAUAGGAGAAUUAAGUGGCAUGACUCUUUGCGUGGUGUGUCUUGAUACGGCCGAUUACGCCAUAGACGCUAUAAGCGAGGUCUUCUACACGCACCACCCACAUCCCUAGGAACCUAGUACCAUCAUAUUUAUAACCUCUGUUCUUCUCUAAUGUUAUAGUCAACUAUCCUUUACAUAUUUACGUGCUUCUUUCGUAAAUGGACCGUGCAUUUUACGGUAAUCAUUACCUUCCAUUGUCCCAGUGGUAGCGUUAUUACGCUUUAACACUAGUUUGAAAACCUUUGUUUUCUAAGUGAAACUUCAAAAAAAAAAAAAAAAAAAAAAGGAAGAAAAA